rnacentral:rRNA from 1 species
GAUUAACGCUGGCGGCAUGGCCUAAUACAUGCAAGUCGAACGAGGUCACUUGUGACCGUAGUGGCGAAACGGGUGAGUAACACGUAGAGAACCUGCCUCAAAGUCGAGGAUAACUAUUGGAAACGCUAGCUAAGACUGGAUAGUAUACCAGAAGGCAUCUUUUUGGUAUUUAAAGGUCCGUUUGGAACGCUUUGAGAUGGCCCUGCGGCGCAUUAGCUAGUUGGUGAGGUAACGGCCCACCAAGGCGACGAUGCGUAGCUGACCUGAGAGGGUGACCGGCCACACUGGGACUGAGACACGGCCCAG